rnacentral:rRNA from 1 species
GAUGAACGCUGGCGGCGUGCCUAAUACAUGCAAGUCGAACGGAAAGGCCUCUUCGGAGGUACUCGAGUGGCGGACGGCUGAGUAACGCGUAGGAAUGUACCCCACAGUGAGGAAUAAUUCGCUGAAAAGCGGACUAAUACCGCAUGUGCUCUAAGGAGUAAAGCUUCGGCGCUUUGGGAACAGCCUGCGUAAGAUUAGCUUGUUGGUGAGGUAAUGGCUCACCAAGGCGACGAUCUUUAGCUGGUCUGAGAGGAUGAUCAGCCAGACUGGGACUGAGACACGGCCCAGACUCCUACGGGAGACAGCAGUAGGGAAUUUUCCACAAUGGACGAAAGUCUGAUGGAGCAACGCCGCGUGCAGGAUGAAUGCCCUUGGGUUGUAAACUGCUUUUAUGAUUGAAGAUAAUGACGGUAGAUCCUGAAUAAGGAUCGGCUAACUCCGUGCCAGCAGCCGCCGUAA